rnacentral:rRNA from 1 species
UACGAAGGGUGCAAACGUUGCUCGGAAUCAUUGGGCGUAAAGCGCACGUAGGCGGCCCAGCAAGUUGGAUGUGAAAUCCCUCGGCUCAACCGAGGACGUGCAUCCAAAACUGCUGGGCUUGAGUACUGAAGAGGAUCGCGGAAUUCCCGGUGUAGAGGUGAAAUUCGUAGAUAUGACAUAGAACACCAAUUGCGAAGGCAGCUGGCUACAGGUUUAUUGACACUGAGGCACGAAAGCGUGGGGAUCAAACAGG